GACGAACGAGGGAGGCGUGCUUAACACAUGCAAGUCGAACGGAAAGGCCCUGCUUUUGUGGGGUGCUCGAGUGGCGAACGGGUGAGUAACACGUGAGUAACCUGCCCUUGACUUUGGGAUAACUUCAGGAAACUGGGGCUAAUACCGGAUAGGAGCUCCUGCUGCAUGGUGGGGGUUGGAAAGUUUCGGCGGUUGGGGAUGGACUCGCGGCUUAUCAGCUUGUUGGUGGGGUAGUGGCUUACCAAGGCUUUGACGGGUAGCCGGCCUGAGAGGGUGACCGGCCACAUUGGGACUGAGAUACGGCCCAGACUCCUACGGGAGGCAGCAGUGGGGAAUAUUGCACAAUGGGCGGAAGCCUGAUGCAGCAACGCCGCGUGCGGGAUGACGGCCUUCGGGUUGUAAACCGCUUUCGCCUGUGACGAAGCGUGAGUGACGGUAAUGGGUAAAGAAGCACCGGCUAACUACGUG
rnacentral:rRNA from 1 species